rnacentral:tmRNA from 1 species
GGGGGCGCGUGGUUUCGACAAGGGAUCAACCCCGGUGAUAGAGCAGGUCGAGGUGCCACCACCUCGUUAAACUGAUGGCAAAAAAUUAGCUGGCAAAAAACAGCUUGCACUCGCUGCGUAACUAAUACGCUGUGACGUUCGAAAAUCUCUCCUCCUACUGGAAAUUUCGAACGACAAUUAAGUAGGAUGCGGCCGCUAGGAGGCCGGGGCUUAGCAGCCAAAGAUUUUUCCGGCUGGCUACGAUUCGACCGUGUCGGUUGGGUCCCAUCGUGGCGACAUUAUAACCGACUAAACCUGUAGCGCUUCACUUAGGGCAUCCUUUGGACGGGGGGUUCGACACCCCCCCGCCUCCACCA